GAGAGCCGCCGCCGGUAAGCUUCGAUUUUUCGUAAUUUUUUGGCCCCCCGAGGGCCCUAGGGUUGUUUUAUCGUAAGGACCGAUGCAAGUGUGGCCGAAUUCGGCCGAAAACGGCCAAACCGAGGCGAAUCACCGCCGUUUGCGGCGGCGCCGUCGCCGAAGCACGGCGGAGCCGCCGUGCCGGAAUUGCGAUAUUGGCCAAAAAGGGGCCCUGGGCCUAAUUUGGGAUUUUUUGGAACACGUGCAGGUACCAGUAGUGCGUUUCAAUUCCCCGAAAAAAAUUCAGGGAAAAUUUGGGACAGCCUGUAGGCGCACUGUGAAGCUGUGUUCGGACCCCGAAACGAGUAAGGACCCCUCACCCUAUUUCCUAUCACGGUAUUAAAGUUCAAUAAUGAUGAAACGGUAUUUCUUGAAUCAACGAAUGUGUGAAAUUGCUUAAGGUCGCUAAUGGAGCCCGAGUCUAGUGUGUUUGUCGGUUAACUGUUAUUUGG
rnacentral:lncRNA from 1 species